UUCAUUUAACAUACAAAAACAGAAGAUUUGCAUUCAACUGAAAACAAAACACAUGUCUUAACAAAUAAUAAAUCUAGAUCGUGGACCAAUUAUCCACAUUUCUUACCUAAUCCGAGGAAAACAAACUGCCAUGAAUACCAAUUUGACAAAAAAAAAAAAUCCUAAAUUGCUUUUAAGAUGAUCAAUUGUCUUAUAAAUUUAAUAAUGUUGCAUUAAUUACGUUUACUAACACAACAGUUCAAUACUUUCUCUCAUCCCCAUGCACGAGGCAAGGAG
rnacentral:lncRNA from 1 species